rnacentral:lncRNA from 1 species
CAUGGGUGCGGCCCUAAAAAGCAAAAAAAAAAAAAAAAAUUUCAUUGGAUAUUGCCAAAGCUUGAUGUAAGGUGGGACAUUUUAUUUCUCUUAUUUGUUCUUUCAUACCAUACCUUAAAUAUCCAGAGUGUCUGUUUAAAAGGCAUUUUCUUUUUCCAAAAGGAAAAUGCUUUCUGAAUUCAUACUGUAACUAAAACUUCUUAGAUUCCUUUGUAUAUCAUGAUGUCAGUAGACGAAAAGCCAGAAAAUUUGUCUUCAAAAUGACAUCAGUGAAUCCAUCCUCUUAAACUUUGGCACUUUUUAUUACUUCUUAGACUAAAGGAGUUAAGGACUUUGCCGUCAAAGGACUUUUUCAGGCCGUAACUGCUUCCCCUUAAAAUAAAGGAUUUGAAUUUGAUGGUGCUGAAUUUAUGAAUGUGAUGGUUUUUGUCUAUAGAAAGUUGUAACACUGGAGCUAUGUUUUCAAGAAGCUUAUGUGUAAAGAGUUAUUUCCUGGCUCUCUUAUUUUCUUUGCAAAGAGCUUAACAGUGAAAGUUUUAUAGGGUAGAUGACUGAAAGUUGAAAGUUAGAAAUAUUGUUUAUAGCUAUGACCCUAAGAACAUCAUUAAAAAAUCAUUUAAUUGUGAUUAUCCCCUUUAAUCAGUAUUUAUGAUACAUAUACUUAAUAGCUUUAAAGAAAUCUGCAAUAUAAUCCUAUUUAUGUGUUACCAACAGUUUUAAAUGAUUGAAGAUUUUUUGAGCUUCUUAAUUUAUCAGAGGAGAAAAAGAACUUUAUGAAAUAUUUCUAUAAUUCUGCCAUUCGGGAAAAUCAAGUAAGAAUUAGCAUAGGCUUUUUAUUUUUAAACAGGAAUUUCAGUCUUGAGUUUCAGAAAUGAAAACAUUAUUCUUGUUUUUAUGAUAGAGGGAUGUUUUAAUUUGUCAUUUAGUACUUAUCUUUUAAUGUUGCUUGUAUAACUUAGAGCUAAUGUAUAUUUGUGAGAAGAGAAAUUAAUGUUGAAAUUAAAUUUGCUCAAUUUAUAAAUCCUAAACAUUUUCAAGUGAAAUAUGUAGGGAGUUUAUUUGGGAUAUUAACACUAGGUAUGGAGUUAGGUAUUUAAUACUUUUGAAAUAGCUGCAUAAGCCUUUUUUGGCAUGGUUGAAUUUCAUAUUUUAAAAAAUGAGAAGUUUUAAUGGCGUUUUAUAUAUUUGAAUGUUUAACUUGUAAUGCCAAGAUUAUUUUUAAAAACUUAAGCAUGUGUUUUGCAGAAUAGGUUUAGAAUAAAGCUUUAAUUCUUGGAUAGUUUUCUCUGCUUUAAAUAUGAUUAUGAUGUUUAAAAAUUAUUUAAUAUGAAAGCCAAAAAGCUAAGUUGCAUUGCUAAGUAAAUCACUUACUGCAGCAUCCAGAAGAGGAACAGGAAUCAUCUUUAUGCUGGGAGAAAUAACUGCAAGAGUCAGUCCAUCUAAGUCUGCAUUUCUUUUUUUCUUUUUUCUUUUUUCUUGUUUUUUUUUUUUUUUUUUUUUCAUCUUUUUGCCAUUUCUUGGGCCUCUCCCGCGGCAUAUGGAGGCUCCCAGGCGAGGGGUCUAAUAGGAGCUGUAGCUGCCGGCCUACACCAGAGCCACAGCAACGCCAGAUCUGAGCCAUGUCUGUAACCUACACCACAGCUCAUGGCAACACCGGAUCCUUAACCCACUAAGCAAGGCCAGGGAUCGGACCCGCAACCUCAUGGUUCCUAGUCGGAUUCGUUAACCACUGAGCCACGACGGGAACUCCUAGGUCUGCAUUUCUUAAAAUUCAUUUUGUCAGCCAGCCCUAAGUAUUUCUGUUCUGCUAUAUGUACUAUGUCAGUUUUUUAAUUUUUAAAUUUUAAAAAAGCUUUCUCCUCAGUUCAUUUACCUUACUUUCAUUUUAGCGUUUGAAAAAAAAUUUCCCAGUCCUAUCAGUUGAAGCUGGGGCAGUGCUGGGCACCGGUAAGGAGAGAUGGCAAACUCAGUGCCUCCUGGGCCCAAGCAAAGGAUUUAGUGACGCUAGGCUUUUUUGCAUAGUAAACAACUUAGAAUAUUCUUCAUUUUUAUUUAAAAAAAAAAUCCAGCAUUUCUUGACCUUCCGGUUUUUAAAGGUAAGCUAGAAUCAGGAUGUUUAUUUAAAACUUUGUUUUUAAAUAUUAACAACUAAUUCAUACAAGAAUUUCAGGCAGAAACCUGAAGACCUGACAUAGGCCACCAUUUCAGAAGCUCCUUUACAGUGGAGAGCCAGGGUGGCAAAUUAUGGCCUGUGUGUCCAGAUGUGGCCUUCUGCCUGUUUUUGUACAGCUCAUGAGCUAAGAAUGAUUUUUACAUUUUUAUAUGGUUGGGGGGGGCGGAAUUAUCAGUGUCUCCCUUUUGCCCCAGUUCCCCCACUCAAAAAAGGGAUAUGGCUCAGGAAGCAACAGUACUUGUUGGGAACUCAGACUAUGCAGUGUAGGCUGUUAGGAUUUCCUAUCUCUGAAACUUACUGUGAUACUUGGGUAAACUACCUCAACUCUCUGUUUCUCCGUCAGCUAAAGGGAAAUAGCUAAUCUGUAAAAGUUUAUCACAAUGCCUGGAAUAGAGCGAAACUCAAUAGAUAAAGCUGGGAUUAAUACUACCGCAUCUUUAAGAUUUCUAGAAGUAGCCUUCAAGAUAAAAGUAGAAAAUUGAUGACGCAGAGCUGCUCUUCGUUCGGUAUUGUAUUUUAUAGAGUACUGCCUCGAACCUAACACUAAUUUCAGGUCGUGUUAGCUCCUCCUGGCAAAGGUUAAUAUUCGUUCCUGGAUCUGAUAACUUGGGCAAAUCUAGAAACCUUCUAAGCCUCAGUUUCCUCAUUUGUAAAAUAGGAUAGUGGUACCAACUUUACAGUGUUCUUAUGGUGGGAUUAACAGUGCCUAGGACAUAAAAACUCAUUAAAUGUUCUCCCUUUCUGCCAUCCCCAUCUAUUAAAAGCCCCACUCCCCCCAUCAUUCUUUCUUUUU